rnacentral:rRNA from 1 species
GCAGGGAAUAUUGGACAAUGGGGGCAACCCUGAUCCAGUGACGCCGCGUGAGUGAUGAAGGCCUUCGGGUCGUUAAGCUCUGUUGCAGGGGAAGAACACAAUGAUGGUACCCUUCUAGAAAGGAUCGGCUAACUUCGUGCCAGCAGCCGCGGUAAGACGAGGGAUCCUAGCGUUGUUCGGAAGUAUUGGGCGUAACGCGGGUGCAGGUGUCUUGGUAAGUGAGCUGUGAAAGCCUGGGGCUUAACCCCAGAAGUGCAUUUGAUACUGCUGAGCUUGAGUGCUGGAGAGGCUAUUAGAAUUCCUGGUGUAGUGGUGAAAAACGUAGAUAUCAGGAGGAAUACCGGAGGCGAAGGCGGGUAGCUGGCCAGACACUGACACUCAGACCCGAAAGCGUGGGGAUCAAACAGGAUUAGAUACCCUUGUAGUCC